rnacentral:rRNA from 1 species
GACUUACAUCUCUUCGGAGCAUUUUACGAGGUGCUGCAUGGUUGUCGUCAGCUCGUGCCGUGAGGUGUCGGGUUAAGUCCCAUAACGAGCGCAACCCCUACCUUUAGUUGCCAUCAGGUAAUGCUGGGGACUCUAAAGGAACUGCCUACGCAAGUAGUGAGGAAGGCGGGGAUGACGUCAAAUCAGCACGGCCCUUACGUCCGGGGCGACACACGUGUUACAAUGGGUGGUACAAAGGGCAGCUACCUGGCGACAGGAUGCUAAUCUCCAAAACCACUCUCAGUUCGGAUCGGAGUCUGCAACUCGACUCCGUGAAGCUGGAUUCGCUAGUAAUCGCGCAUCAGCCACGGCGCGGUGAAUACGUUCCCGGGCCUU